GCACAUGUUUAAUUCCCUCGAAACGAGGGGGGAGAACACAGACAACUUGCAGAGAUCCUGAAAUUUAAAAAAGAGCAGAAAAUGCUGGAAAAACUCAGGUCUACGAGCAUCUCUGGAGAGAAAAACAAAAGUUAACGUUUCGAGUCCGUCUGACGCUUCUUUCCACUACCCUGGCAGAGAUCCUGGAUGUUCUUAGCACUCGACGUGGCCCUAAGGAAUCUUAAACCGGCUCAGUGAACCUGACAUUUCAGAACCACUUUCAAGGAGUCAUUCGGGGGCCAGAGAAGCAGAGGACAACAGACCUGGUUGCAACCUGAUUGGAGAAGGGCUAUAAAUUGAUGCCGAGCAUUGGGGCCUUCACUUACCUGCAGUCAUGGACCGGAGAAGCAGAGGACAGUUGACUUGGGUGUAACCUGAUCGGAGAAGGGCUGUAAAUCGACGCCUAGUCUCGGUGCCUUCACUUACCUGCAGUCGGGGACUGGAGAAGCACUCCACUCCACUCAGCUACUGGAUUGAAGAAACAGUGAAAAAAGCAACAAAUUGUGACAUCACAGGAAACCCUGAAUUUGGUGCUGUGACUCGGAUGACUACGCCGCUCUGAAGGGAAGCCAGUUUGAAGGCGAGGCGUCUAAAGGAGACUGCCACAGCUGAAAGCCUUGAAGGGGACUCCCAGAGGAGGGGCAACUUUAUCCGAUCUUGAAGGUGUUGCAAGUUGCUGCAGGAAAAAGGACCUGAAGGGUAAAGGUAAAAGCAGCACAAAAGACACCAGGAGAUUUCUGGUGCCACACGCUAGAACCAGGCGAGUGGGUCCUUGUGAAAGUACACAAAAGAAAAGAUUCCCUUAAGUCCAGAUGGGAAGGACCCUAUCAACUGACAACCAGAACAGAGGUAAAUUGCGAAAGAAAAGGUACUUGGAUACACGUCUCUCACUGCAAGCAAAUACCAGCUCCAGAGGAAAGCUAAUUGAGUUUGAAUACUGUUAAGUAAAUCGUAAGAAACUGUAAGUAAUUAUGCUACUCUUGUGUCUGUUUAUGGUUGGGCUGGUAGGCUGUGGGGCUAAGGUGAGUGAAGAGGGAAGUGAUGAAUGUAACAAGGCACAGAAAAAUAGCAAAUUGUACUUUUGCAGUAAGUCAUCAACGUCCCAGCAAUUUAGCAAUUUUAAAUGCAUUAGCAACCACAAUGGUAAUUGUUGGAAUUGCACUCUCCAACCUGCAGUCGGGGGAAAGACUGAUCUAACAAAGAUUGAGUGCUGCCCAGAUGGUAAAAUCAAAAUAAUCAAUGGAAAAAGUUACCCUGACCCACCUUAUGUGCCCUAGUCAACAACUUUGGCCCUAACUGCGUCUUUAACUACUUCACCUACCCCAACAGAAACAACUACUAUGGCAGCCCCGGAAUGUCUUAAAAAAUGAGUCAGAGGUAACACCACUAAACACAGGAUUGGUAAUAAUCCCAGAGAAGGAAAAAGUUAUCAUCAUAUCAAGAUAUACACAUGUCAAAACAGUGGUAAACCUAACGAAACUUAACAUGCCCGAAUGGUGCCCCAGUCAGUUAAGAAGACUACAUACCAAACUACUGAAGGAAGAAAUACAGAAUAAAGGGCUGAAAAUGGAAGUCAAAUAUGAAGUUAAGAACUAUGUGUGCUCAAAAGGCAGCAAAGUAUUGUUAAAUGGGAAGGAGUGUACAAGCCUGUACCCAAGUUGAGGACAGUCCUCACGGACAUGAGAUCAGAGAGUGUCAAAGCCCCCAUAACAGGGUUAACUCUGGAGAAUGUCCCUCAGCAGAAGAAAGAAAGGUUGAAGUAAGCUGAAAAAAAAGGAACUGUAACAGCCUUGCCUGUCACUAAACUGAGGAAGCCGAAAAGAGGUAUCUUAGAGGUAGCAGGAAUCGGAUAUGCGGCAGAAACAGCCACAGAUACUUUAGACAUAGGCACAUUACAAACAGAACUUGAAAAACUAAAGGCUCACAUGGAACAGAUAAUUCAGGAGCAAAAUGAUGACUAGAGAGAAGCAGCCCAGACUAGUGAACAGUUGACUGUCCUUUUCCAGGAAGGUUUGAAACGCCUGAAACCAGUAACCAACACAAUAAAUUAACAGAGAAGAGAGUGAAGAAAGGAAUGAAACAAGGGAUGCUGUAUGCACCUUUAUACAGGUCUUGGGUUCUGGCUCAAGUAGAUAAAAACUUGUUGCAGCUUAAAAAUCACCAGGUGCCAGAUUGGAUAAGGGAAGCGACUUUACGAAAAUGGGCGCUAGGGUCAUCCCUAGCAAAUGUUGAUGUCCGAGACGUCUCUCGAGCCACCCGCAUCCCCCACCUUAAGAGCAGCAACAAAAAGAAAGAAACAAUAAUCCUGGGAAUGCUUCUGCACAUACCCAAAAGCAAACAUGAUGCACUGAGAUCUCGACUAUAUCGACUAGGAAAUCUCGGCUGGGUGAAGAAAAGGACGUGGUUAGCGGUCCCAGAAACCCCAAAAUGGGCAGUAGUAAUGAAAAACACAGCAAAAGGAUUACAAAGAGAUAGGUGCCAGAAAAUGGAAGGCAAAUGGCUGUGCCCAGACUAUGCCCUCAUGAAUGAGAAAAUGUGCGGUUUACACCACUGGAAAGACUGUAAAAUACAUGUUAACCCCACUGUACAUAAUGGUUUGUACUUUGUUAAAACACACAACGCAACUCACUAUUAUGUGGUGACCACAAAUUUAACUUACCUUGUACGAAACAAGACUUGUGCCUUACCAGAUUAUAAUGUGAUAAUCAAGAACCCCCGGAACAACUAACCUUUGGAAGCAAUAAUAUAGACCCAUUAACAAAGGACGCGGAGAUAGAAAUAGAAGCAAACAUCGUAAAAAUGAAUAAUGAUACCGAAGUACGUAAGAUUGUAUCAGAUCUGUUGCCAACUAUCCCACCAUUGAAUGUGGAUUGGGAACAAUUGAUAAAGGAAGCAAAAAAAACUGUGAGCCACAAAUGGAGUGAAAUUGAAUAAAAGAUUAAAACGGACAAAGACAAAGCUGAAGAACUACUCAAGAAGGAUUCUCUCUUCUAGGAGGUUUGGAACUGGGGAAUGAAUGUGAAUAUACAUCCUUGGUUAAGAAUUCUCUCCCAUGUCUUGGUCAUUGUUCAGAUUUUGAUCAUAAUUUUAAUAAUCUUGGUGUGCCCUAAUAAGGAGAGAAUAAAACACAAAAGGGGGGACUAAGAAAGAAAACAUUGAUGGAUAAGAAAUAAGGAAAUAAGCUAAGAAAAUAGCCAGAUUGUCUCACAGCCUGCCUCUACUCAACAGCAGACAAACAGGAGCAAGUCAUAAAUAUUAACAUCCUGAAAGUGUUUAACUUGUACCUUAUGUACGAGCAAGUAAAGAGUGAAUUGAACAAUGAAGUGUUUCUCUAUGUCACUAAGUAAUAAAUUGUAAGAUUUGUGUGAAAACCAAGGAAGUAUUCUUGGUUUAUAGCCAAAAUCAAAUGUACUUUGUGCACAAUUAGUUGUGUAAGUAUGGUGGCCAGUUUGUUUUUUAAUUUGCCGUUCUGUUUUUUGUAACUUCCCGAAUCUAUGUCCUGUAGAUUGUUGAUUGUGGUCUAAUUGGAGGUAACAUGUAUUUGUAAAACUGUCUGUCUUGUACUUGAUGUAAAACAAAAACAGA